rnacentral:rRNA from 1 species
UACAGAGGGUGCAAGCGUUAAUCGGAAUUACUGGGCGUAAGGCGUGCGUAGACGGUUAUGUAAGUCAGGUGUGAAAGCCCCGGGCUCAACCUGGGAAUUGCAUUUGAGACUGCAUAGCUAGGGUGCGGAAGAGGGAAGCGGAAUUUCCGGUGUAGCGGUGAAAUGCGUAGAUAUCGGAAGGAACAUCAGUGGCGAAAGCGGCUUCCUGGUCCAGCACCGACGUUCAGGCACGAAAGCGUGGGGAGCAAACAGG